GGGCCGCUAGCUCAAUUGGCAGAGUGACGGACUUUUAAUCCGGCAGGUCAGGGUUCGAGUCCCUGGCGGCCCA
rnacentral:tRNA from 1 species